rnacentral:rRNA from 1 species
AGCGAACGCUGGCGGCAGGCCUAAUACAUGCAAGUCGAGCGGAAGUUGGAGAGCUUGCUCUUCAACUUUAGCGGCGGACGGGUGAGUAACACGUGGGCAACCUGCCCUGCAGAUCGGGAUAACGCCGGGAAACCGGUGCUAAUACCGAAUAGUUUUUGCCACCUCCUGGUGGCGUACGGAAAGACGGUUUCGGCUGUCACUGCAGGAUGGGCCCGCGGCGCAUUAGCUAGUGGGUGGGGUAACGGCCCACCAAGGCGACGAUGCGUAGCCGACCUGAGAGGGUGAUCGGCCACACUGGGACUGAGACACGGCCCAGAUUCCUACGGGAGGCAGCAGUAGGGAAUCUUCCGCAAUGGACGAAAGUCUGACGGAGCAACGCCGCGUGAGUGACGAAGGUUUUCGGAUCGUAAAACUCUGUUGUGAGGGAAGAACAAGUACCACUUAACUACUGGUACCUUGACGGUACCUCACCAGAAAGCCACGGCUAACUACGUGCCAGCCGCCGCGGUAA